UUUUCUAAAUUAUACUAUUUCGAAAUCCAAACCCUAAAACUCAACUCUAAACCUUAAACCAUCAAUCCUAAACCUUUUUUUUUUUAAAUACGAACUCUAAACCCUAAACCAUCAAUCCUAAACCCUAUUUUUUUUUUGAAAUAAACCCUAAACCCCGAAACAUCAACACUUAACCCUAAAUCCCGAAACAUCAACUCUAAACCCUAAACCCUAAACCUUCAACUCUAAACCCUAAAACAUCAACUCUAAACCCUAAACCCUAAACUUCAACUCUAAACUCUAAACCAUCAACACUAAACCCUAAACUAUCAACACUAAACCCUAAACCCUAAAAAGUAAACUCUAAACCCUAAACCCUAAAAAGUUAACCCUAAACCCUAAAACAUCAACUCUAAACCCUAAACCCUAAACCUUAACUUUAAACCCUAAAUCCUAAACCCUAAACCCUAAAACCCUAGAGUUGAUGUUUUAGGGUUUGGAUUUGAAGAUUUAGGGUUUAGGGUUUAUGUUUAGGGUUUAGAGUUGGUGUUUUAGGGUUUAGAUCUGAAGGUUUAGGGUUUUAGGGUUUAGGGUUCGAAUUUCUAAAUAAUUUAAGGUUUAGGGUUUACGUUUAGGGUUUACAUUUGGGGUUUAGAGGUGAUGUUUUAGGGUUUUGAUUUGAAGGGUUUAGAGUGGAUGUUUCGGAGUUUAGGAUUUAGAGUUGAUGUUUCAUGGUUUAGGGUUUAGAGUUGAUGAUUUAGGGUUUAAAGUUGAUGUUUUAAGUUUAUAUUUAGGGUUUAGGGUUUAAGUUUAGGAUUUAGAGUUGAUGUUUUAGGGUUUAGAUUUGAAGUUUUAGGGUUUAGAGUUUAUGUUUCGGGAUUUAGGGUUUAGAGUUGAUGUUUCAUGGUUUAGGGUUUAAAGUUGAUGAUUUAGGGUUUACAGUUGAUGUUUUAAGUUUAGAUUAGUUAACCAUAUGUUUUUUUUGUCAAAGGUAAUCAAAAGGUUAUAAUUGUCUUUUACCCUUCAUUAAAGAUGAGAGCAAAAGUGGUUAGUGUAACCAUGAAAAGUGGUACUUUGAAAAUGAUAUUUUUGACAAUUUCUCAAUGUUUUAAUUAAAAAAAACUUGAUAAAGAUGAAGAGGGUGUUCAAAAAAAUAAAAAAGAUGAAGAGAAAAUUAACGAAGAGAAUGAGACCACCAAUUAUAAAAGGAAAGAAGAAAGUUCGUGGAAGGAGAAUGGUUCAGUUUUAGUUAGAAAAGCUAACGACAAUUUGAUCAAAUAGUUAGAAAAAGUGUAUGGGUAGAAGAAAGUGUCCUAGGAUGUUAUCAAAACUGUAAAUGUGAUCUACAAUGUAAUAUUUUCUAUAUAUUAUAUACGUUUACUGACCGAAACAUAUUUUUUACCUAGGUCAAUGUAUUUUAAAUAUAUAAAUAUUCUUUAUGAAUAACUUUUA
rnacentral:lncRNA from 1 species